AUUGAACGCUGGCGGCAUGCCUAACACAUGCAAGUCGAACGAGUGGCGGACGGGUGAGUAAUGUCUGGGAAACUGCCUGAUGGAGGGGGAUAACUAGUGGAAACGGUAGCUAAUACCGCAUACCAUCAGUAGUGCCCAGAUGGGAGUAGCUUGUUGGUGGGGGAACGGCUCACAAAGGCGACGAUCCCUAGCUGGUCUGAGAGGAUGACCACCCACACGGGAACUGAGACACGGUCCAGACUCCUACGGGAGGCAGCAGGGGGGAAUAUUGCACAAUGGGCGCAAGCCGGAUGCAGAAAUGCCGCGUGUAGGAAGCAGGCCUUCGGGUGGAAAAGUACUUUCAGCGGGGAGGCGUUACCCGAAGAAGAAGCACCGGCUAACUCCGUGCCAGCAGCCGCGGUAAUAC
rnacentral:rRNA from 1 species